AUUUUAGAAGCAGAGGCUUGGUCCGUUCUCUUUUUGUUUGUAGGAAUUGUGUGAAAGAAACAAUUUAGUCCAGUAAUCAAGAGAUUGUAGAAGCAAUUGCUUGGUCCGUUCUCUUUAUGUCUGUAGGAAUUGAAUUGUGUAAAAAAAAAAAACAAUUUAGUCCAUUUCUCCAGAGACUGUAGGAGCCGUAGAUAGAAUUGGGACUGAUGUUGCUGCAAGAAUUGGGAAUUCUUGACUGGGUGCUAAUUCAGUAGCCACUAAUGUAGAUUGAAAUAAAUGUUCAAACCGAGUUAGAAGAUGAUGGCAUUAAACCAUGAAACUAUAAGGUUGUUUGCCUUCCAUGAAA